rnacentral:rRNA from 1 species
GAUGAACGCUGGCGGCGUGCCUAACACAUGCAAGUUGAACGAAGCAAUCAAGACAGAAUCCUUCGGGAGGAAGAUUUGAUUGACUGAGUGGCGGACGGGUGAGUAACGCGUAUCCAACCUUCCCCUUAGUAGGGCACAGCCCGGCGAAAGUCGGAUUAAUUCCCUAUGUUGUUUGAUGCUGACAUCAAAAUCAAACCAAAGAUUCAUCGCUAAGGGAUGGGGAUGCGUCUGAUUAGAUAGUAGGCGGGGUAACGGCCCACCUAGUCAACGAUCAGUAGGGGUUCUGAGAGGAAGGUCCCCCACAUUGGAACUGAGACACGGUCCAAACUCC